ACAUCCAUGGCGUGUACCCUGUAGCAGGACAGAGGCAGCACAGAGCUCCUUUUGUGCCAACUGUGCUCUGCAGACCCAGGGUGUGUGCUGUUCAUCAUGGAGACAUCAUUAUAGUUGGGGCUUCUGUUCUUUUGUUGCAUUUCAAAUACCCAAUAUGCACAGAAGUGUUCCCACACUUUAUUUUCAGGCAUCUGACAGACAAGCUGCAGGGUUGAGUUGUCAUUUGUGGGGCAGUGUAAGGCCUGUGAAGUUUAUCCAGUUCUCUUAAACUACUGCUGCUUAGAAAAUGACAGUCUAAUUGUAGCUUGUGCUUUGGCUCUUAGGGACAUGAGAUGCAGCACCAGUAGGCAAAGUUGAAACUAAAUUAUCUGCUCUUCUGUGGUACAGGGAAAUGCAAAGGUAGAUGUGGUCUGUGCAGCAGGCUCAGCCCAGCUGUGUAGAGGUGUGCUGCAGCAGAAGCCACUUAAAUUCCUGGAGGCAGGAGCACCAGCUCAGGGACAGGCAGGGACUGCAACUGAAGCAGUGUGUUCUGUCUGCACCCGGUGUCUGCUGUGUGGCAGCAUGGAACCCCCCGUCCUGCUUCGCCAAGAAUUCUCAGUGAUGCUGUGAGAACAGCAGAGACUUUGAGUGGCAGUAACUGAGGGAGCUGCCACAGCCUUUGGGAGACACACUGGAGGUGUGGGACAGCACGGGGCUGCUGGUGCUGCCUGCGUGGAUGCCACAGAUCAAAGGCUGUCCUUGAGGGAACUUCUCUGAAGCUGCACUUCAGUUUACCUUUAUUUGAGGCAGAGGCAAAACUUACUUGAACUUGUUCCAGUGGAAUGAUGGGGGAUUAAUUAGUUAAUGAAUACUCAGAGAUGCAAACUAAGAGCUAGUUGUUCACGCUGCAUUGGGGCCAGUAUAUCGUCCUGAACUCCAUCUCUCUGUGCCUGCCAAGGAUUUUUUACUACUACACAGGUGGAUGUGUUUUCAGCAGAGGCUUCCAUGUGGAAGAUUUUAAGAACUAAAAGAAAAAGCAAGUCCAGG
ensembl:lncRNA